CAGAGGAAGAGCCUCCUAAGAAAAGGGUACACAAUAGUGGAAUGAGAGAAAAGAGCAGAGAGAGCCAGAUGCCCACAUGAGAAGGGUCUGGAGGAAAGAGGCUGUUUGGGCAGAAAAUGAUGAUCCUUAGCUGCUAACUCUGUCAGCACAAAGAGAGUGGGACUGCAGAUGACCUCCAACACUGAAUAAACCAAAAAGGAUUCAUUUAACGUUUGAGAACAAAUUCUCAGGACACCCCAGAGGCCUUGAUAUGCUCAUGUGCCCUGCGUUGCACUGCAAUACGCCAGGAGGUGGCUGCAGUAAGCAGUAAAUCCACCUAACUGUGGGAUCAUCAUGUUAUUAAAGAAUAACAGGGAUCCCCUGUGAUCAGCAUUAAUGGACUGGGGCGAGAACAGAGAAGGUGACUUCACAUUUAUGAAUAUCAAAUAAUGAGGGCUCAGCUUUUUGCCUUCCAGCAGUCAAGUUCUUCUUCUGGGAAGUGCCUCUCUGUCGGGGUAACAAACAUUUUUAAGUUGACUGAUACAUUUUAAAAGUAGUAUGUAGAAAGGCUUUCUAAAAUCAAAAUCCAAUUUUA
rnacentral:lncRNA from 1 species